rnacentral:rRNA from 1 species
CGCCUGUUUAUCAAAAACAUUUUUGUUUGCGGAAGAGGGAGUUGGCUGCUCGGUGAUAAUAUCAAAGCUGCAGUAUUUUGACUGUGCUAAGGUAGCAUAAUCAUUUGCUUUUUAAUUGGGGGCUGGAAUGAACGGUCGAACUAACUAAGUUUAGUUUGUCAUUCCUUAUAGGAAAUUAAAGUUAAAGUAAAAAUUCUUUAAUGGGCUAAGGGACGAUAAGACCCUAAAAGCUUUACCUGGGGCGGAAGUGGGUAGUGGGCGCUUAGAGAGGGUUUGGCUGGGGCGGUAUUUCUAAGUGAACUAGAAUUUUAUGGUGGGUCCUUUACAUAAAGACAGAGAGUGUUAGUUACUUUAGGGAUAACAGUGCAAUAUGCUUGGAGAGAUCUUAUCGAUAAGCGUGCUUACCACCUCGAUGUUGAAUUAGAAUGUCUGUGCGAGGCAGCGUGUGUGCGAGAGAGUUUGUUCAACUCUUAAAUUUUUACAUGAUCUGAGUUCAAACCGGAG